GUGAUUUUCAUUAUAUUUCAUCAUGUUAGUUGGUUGUUAUGUGUUUCUCAUUGAAUAUUGUAUCCUGUAUGCUAAAAUUGUUAUUAUAUUUAGCAUAAAGAACAGUUGCUACUCUUCAAAAGCUUGAAGGACUAUAAUGCCUUGGAAGAAGAAAAAAGUUGCAAGAUCAAAAUGCUUAACUUUCUAAGGUGGACUUUGCUUUAAAAAUUUGAAAACAGUUUUUG
rnacentral:misc_RNA from 1 species